GAUGAACGCUGGCGGCGUGCCUAAUACAUGCAAGUCGAACGCUUCACUUCGGUGAAGAGUGGCGAACGGGUGAGUAAUACAUAAGUAACCUGGCAUCUACAGGGGGAUAACUGAUGGAAACGUCAGCUAAGACCGCAUAGGUGUAGAGAUCGCAUGAACUCUAUAUGAAAAGUGCUACGGGACUGGUAGAUGAUGGACUUAUGGCGCAUUAGCUUGUUGGUAGGGUAACGGCCUACCAAGGCGACGAUGCGUAGCCGACCUGAGAGGGUGACCGGCCACACUGGGACUGAGACACGGCCCAGACUCCUACGGGAGGCAGCAGUAGGGAAUUUUCGGCAAUGGGGGAAACCCUGACCGAGCAACGCCGCGUGAAGGAAGAAGUAAUUCGUUAUGUAAACUUCUGUCAUAGAGGAAGAACGGUGGAUAUAGGGAAUGAUAUCCAAGUGACGGUACCCUAUAAGAAAGCCACGGCUAACUACGUG
rnacentral:rRNA from 1 species